AUUUAUAUAAUAUAAAAAUUAUAUUUAACUUCCAAUUAAAAAAUCUAGAAACCUAGUAUAAAUA
rnacentral:tRNA from 1 species